AAACUGUUGUGCUCACAGCAUGACUCGUUCCUAUUGCGGCGAGUAGAAGAAUAAAGUGCAGCACCAAGCAGCAACAUUGCAUUUAUUUGGUGCCUAGGUCAAUGCCAUAAAUGCAGUUUGACAUUGACUUUGACCGCUGCAAUAACAAGCUAAAAGUGAAUGCACUGUGAAAAGAGUUCGGAAAAGUGAUACAUGUUUUUAGCAAAAUGAGAACGUAAACAAAAACUAGUUUGGCUGCAAGCCAAAGGUGCACAAAAGCAAAUGCCACUUGAAAGAUAUUACAAGCAGCAAAUCGACUAAAGACUUAAGCAAGGAACUUUCAGCCCUAAUAACAAGUGGUAUUUACACUUAAGUGUUUAUCUUAAGUUUUAGCGAUAACAAGCAAAUAAAAAUGUAAACGGAAGAUGCACCGCACGUGAACUAAAGAUUUUAUUUACUUGGAAUUAUACAGGUUUCUAAGCGUAAUUGAGCAGAAACUUUAUUUUCCAUUAGCGGUACUAAAAGAUUCACAGCUUUACAGGGAUAACAGGAGGACAGGAAUUUUAUUUUUUUUGUUUCAUAUCUUUGAUUUUAUAUUCUUAGAAUAUGCUGCUUUAGAUUACUAUAUAAUAGCUAUGUUCACCUAACUGUUGUUUGUAUCACCUAAGGGUUAAAUAUACACGCGGCCACGC
rnacentral:lncRNA from 1 species